UGUUAUCGCUGUAACUGGCGUGGGUGGGUCACCACCGGGGAGCGGCGAGCCCUUGAAACUUAAGUUUUAAGGGGUAAACCAUGGCGCCGCCCGCCUGGGUGCCUAGG
rnacentral:ncRNA from 2 species